rnacentral:rRNA from 1 species
GACAGAGGAUGCAAGCGUUAUCCGGAAUGAUUGGGCGUAAAGCGUCUGUAGGUGGCUUUUUAAGUCCGCCGUCAAAUCCCAGGGCUCAACCCUGGACAGGCGGUGGAAACUACCAAGCUGGAGUACGGUAGAGGCAGAUGGAAUUCCGGGUGUAGCGGUGGAAUGCGUAGAGAUCCGGAAGAACACCGGUGGCGAAGGCGGUCUGCUGGGGUAAUGCUGACACUGAUGCGCGACAGCGUGGGGAGCAAACAGG